AUUACUAAGCGGAGGAAAAGAAACCAACUUGGAUUCCCCUAGUAACGGCGAGUGAAGAGGGCAGAGCCCAUCACCGAAUCCCCCGCCCUCGGGGCGGCGGGAACUGUGGUGUUUAGGACGCCGACUGUGGCGAUCGCUGGACGUCCGAGUCCUCCUGAUUGGGGCUUCACCCAGAGCGGGUGUCAGGCCUCUACGGCUUCCGCGGUCGUGGCUGCAGGCGUCCUUGGAGUCGGGUUGUUUGGGAAUGCAGCCCAAAGUGGGUGGUAAACUCCAUCUAAGGCUAAAUACUGGCACGAGUCCGAUAGCGGACAAGUACCGUGAGGGAAAGUU
rnacentral:rRNA from 1 species